GUAUCCCAACCCAUAUACAGAAACCACAAAAGGACUACCUAUCUCUCCUUUAUGGUUGGAACAAAACAACCUUAAAGUGAGAAAAACAUACCCAAAAAAUACCCAAUCAAGAUAAACCCUGCUCUCGAGGAGGAUCCACUCGGGAAAUCCCCAUCUCAUUGCUCUUAUAAGGUUAACAGACAUCUUUAUCGAACCAGCACAAACCCGGCGAUGUGUCUACCUCAGUAAUUUUCAGUACCUGAUCUUCCGUUCUUCGAAUACGGCAAUGAUACACAACUUCACCGACCACUUCAUGGAGAUCGCCG
rnacentral:lncRNA from 1 species